rnacentral:rRNA from 1 species
UAGGGAAUCUUCCACAAUGGACGCAAGUCUGAUGGAGCAACGCCGCGUGAGUGAAGAAGGCUUUCGGGUCGUAAAACUCUGUUAUUGAAGAAGAACGUGUGUGACAGUAACUGGUCAUGCAGUGACGGUAUUCAAUCAGAAAGUCACGGCUAACUACGUGCCAGCAGCCGCGGUAAUACGUAGGUGGCAAGCGUUGUCCGGAUUUAUUGGGCGUAAAGCGAGUGCAGGCGGUCUUUUAAGUCUGAUGUGAAAGCCUUCGGCUUAACCGAAGAAGGGCAUCGGAAACUGGGAGACUUGAGUGCAGAAGAGGAGAGUGGAACUCCAUGUGUAGCGGUGAAAUGCGUAGAUAUAUGGAAGAACACCAGUGGCGAAGGCGGCUCUCUGGUCUGUAACUGACGCUGAGGCUCGAAAGNAUGGGUAGCGAACAGGAUUAGA